rnacentral:rRNA from 1 species
CCUACGGGUGGCAGCAGUGAGGAAUAUUGGUCAAUGGUCGGGAGACUGAACCAGCCAAGCCGCGUGAGGGAGGAAGGUACAGAGUAUCGUAAACCUCUUUUGUCAGGGAACAAAGGCGGGGACGUGUCCCCGGAUGAGUGUACCUGAAGAAAAAGCAUCGGCUAACUCCGUGCCAGCAGCCGCGGUAAUACGGAGGAUGCGAGCGUUAUCCGGAUUUAUUGGGUUUAAAGGGUGCGCAGGCGGUCUGGUAAGUCCGCGGUCAAGGCCCGGGGUACAACCCCGGCCCGCCGUUGAAACUGGCAGGAUCGAGUUGGAGAGAGGUAGGCGGAAGGCGCGGUGUAGCGGUGAAAUGCAUAGAUAUCGCGCAGAACUCCGAUUGCGAAGGCAGCAUGCCGGCUCCACACUGACGCUGAGGCACGAAAGCGUGGGUAUCGAACAGGAUUAGAUACCCGAGUAGUC